UACGUAGGGGGCAAGCGUUGUCCGGAUUUACUGGGCGUAAAGAGUGUGUAGGCGGCCAAACAGGUCCGUUGUGAAAACUGGAGGCUCAACUUCCAGACGUCGACGGAAACCGUGUGGCUAGAGUCCGGAAGAGGAGAGUGGAAUUCCUGGUGUAGCGGUGAAAUGCGUAGAUAUCUGGAGGAAUACCGGUGGCGAAGGCGGCAUCCUGGACCAUUACUGACGCUGAGGCGCGAAAGCUAGGGGAGCAAACGGG
rnacentral:rRNA from 1 species